UGCCUGAGCCUGGAAGAAUACCUGGUC
rnacentral:piRNA from 1 species